UUUAUCAGUAUGCAUUUUCGACAAAUGUGAAUCUAGAAAUGUGAAUAACCUUGUUGAAAUUCUGAAAGGAAAGCAUACUCAACUUACAACGAAUCCAUGAAAACCAACUCUUCUUCCUCCCAGCUCUCUCGUUUUGGGCGAUUUCAAGGUGAUUUGGGCAGCGGCCCGCUCAUCUGCGGCGCUGGCCGCCGGCGAUUUGGGCGGCGGACCUCUCAAAACCGAAAACUCUCCCCUCUCUCCCCCUGUCUCUCUCUUUUUGGGCGAUUUCAAGGUGAUUUGGGCGGCAGCCCUCUCAUCUGCGACGCUGGCUGUUGGCGUUGGCAUGCCGCCGGCUCUGGAUCUGUCACACUUCCCCCCUCUUCCUAUCUCCACCUCUAAAGCUACUAGGGAGGAAGCGGAAAUGGAGUCAGUCCCUUUCAAGGUUUCCUAUGUGGCGACUUUGAGGCCACAGUCUCCACGCACCUCGAAGAAGUGCUUCGUUGACCUUGGGGAGGAGUGCAUGCCUGAUCUACAACAAUAAACCAGCUUAUGGAUGAAGAAGCUUGUUUGGUGUAGCUUAUGGAUGAAGAAGCUUGUUUGGUGUUGGAUGUAUAUUUUAUUGAUGUGAGAUGGUAUCACAAAUCUGAAGUGUGUUUAGAUGUCUAUUGGUGAUUCGGUGAUGUGAUAGUCACUUGUAUUUCUUGCACUGUGUGCAAGAAUUAGAUUUCAUUUCUUUUUUGAGUAGUCUGUUUGGAGAUCAUGGUAUGUGACUUAUUUUUGUGAGCUUAGAGGCAUAUUCUCGUCCGUUCAUUGUUGGUGGUUAUUUUGGAGAUAUAAGUCUUCAAGGAAGUGGCAGAAACAUCUUUGGUAUGUUGUUGUUAUUUUGUUAUAGAGUUUGUAAGUAAAGUCUUUGUGUUUUGUGAUCUUGGAAUGUAAGUAUGGAGAGGAGCUAUCUUAGUUUGAAUACACAUGUAAAUCUUUGGAGUCUUUGUAAAUUGUAAUAUGAGGUCAGGUUUACUA